rnacentral:rRNA from 1 species
GACGAACGCUGGCGGCGUGCCUAAUACAUGCAAGUAGAACGCUGAAGAGAGGAGCUUGCUCUUCUUGGAUGAGUUGCGAACGGGUGAGUAACGCGUAGGUAACCUGCCUGGUAGCGGGGGAUAACUAUUGGAAACGAUAGCUAAUACCGCAUAAUAGUAGAUGUUGCAUGACAUUUGCUUAAAAGGUGCAAUUGCAUCACUACCAGAUGGACCUGCGUUGUAUUAGCUAGUUGGUGGGGUAACGGCUCACCAAGGCAACGAUACAUAGCCGACCUGAGAGGGUGAUCGGCCACACUGGGACUGAGACACGGCCCAGACUCCUACGGGAGGCAGCAGUAGGGAAUCUUCGGCAAUGGACGGAAGUCUGACCGAGCAACGCCGCGUGAGUGAAGAAGGUUUUCGGAUCGUAAAGCUCUGUUGUAAGAGAAGAACGAGUGUGAGAGGGAAAGUUCACA